AUCCAACUAACGAGUUCAAAAUAGGACGCAACACGUGUCCUCGAU
rnacentral:hammerhead_ribozyme from 1 species